rnacentral:tmRNA from 1 species
GGGGGCGUUCUGGUUUCGACGGGAUGUUCGACGCGCUGGUUGCACGUGGAGGUUGAACGGCUGGCCUCCUAAAAAGCCGCUCAAAACAAAUAAAUGCAGACUCUAACGAGCUCGCACUGGCCGCUUAAUUGACGACCACGCCUGAACCCCGACACCUGCUGAGGGGAACGGCGACUACCCAGCAGGCUGGAUGGGAAACCGGGGAACCGGGUUUCCCAUCGAGAUCAAACAGGUUCCUAGGGAGGACAACGCCGCAUGUGGGCCCAGUCCGACCGAAACUCCAGACCGCAUGCUAAACGUGUAGAUGCCUGUGCUGAUGAUGUUCCGGACAGGGGUUCGACUCCCCUCGCCUCCACCA